rnacentral:rRNA from 1 species
UACGUAGGGGGCAAGCGUUGUCCGGAUUUAUUGGGCGUAAAGCGCGUGUAGGCGGCUAGACAGGUCCGCUGUGAAAACUCGAGGCUCAACCUCGAGAUGUCGGCGGAAACCGUCUGGCUAGAGUCCGGAAGAGGAGAGUGGAAUUCCUGGUGUAGCGGUGAAAUGCGCAGAUAUCAGGAAGAACACCUAUGGCGAAGGCAGCUCUCUGGGACGGUACUGACGCUGAGACGCGAAAGCGUGGGGAGCGAACAGG